AGUGAACGCUGGCGGUAGGCCUAACACAUGCAAGUCGAACGGCAGCACCGUAAGAGCUUGCUCUUACGGGUGGCGAGUAGCGGACGGGUGAGGAAUACAUCGGAAUCUACUUUUUCGUGGGGGAUAACGUAGGGAAACGUACGCUAAUACAGCAUACGACCUACGGGUGAAAGCAGGGGAUCUUCGGACCUUGCGCGAUUGAAUGAGCCGAUGUCGGAUUAGAUAGUUGGCGGGGUAAAGGCCCACCAAGGCGACGAUCCGUAGCUGGUCUGAGAGGAGGAGCAGCCACACUGGGAAGGAGACACGGUCCAGACUCCUACGGGAGGCAGCAGUGCGGAAUAUUGGAGAAGUGGCGCAAGCCUGAUCCAGCCAUACCGCGUGGGUGAAGAAGGCCUUCUGGUUGUAGAGCCCUUUUGUUGGGAAAGACGAGCAGUAGGUGAAUACCGCGCUGUUCUGACGGUACCCGAAGAAUAAGCACCGGCUAACUUCGUG
rnacentral:rRNA from 1 species